rnacentral:rRNA from 1 species
AGUGAACGCUGGUGGCGUGCCUAACACAUGCAAGUCGAACGAGUACGGCUGGUGCUUGCACCAGUACGACUAGUGGCAGACGGGUGAGUAAUACAUGGGAAUCUGCCCUAUAGUAUGGGAUAACUGUUGGAAACGGCAGCUAAUACCGUAUAUUGCCGAGAGGUGAAAGAUUUAUCGCUAUAGGAUGAGCCCAUGCAGGAUUAGCUAGUUGGUAAGGUAAUGGCUUACCAAGGCGACGAUCCUUAGCUGGUUUGAGAGAAUGAACAGCCACACUGGAACUGAGACACGGUCCAGACUCCUACGGGAGGCAGCAGUGAGGAAUUUUGGACAAUGGGCGAAAGCCUGAUCCAGCGACGCCACGUGAGUGAUGAAGGCCUUCGGGUUGUAAAGCUCUUUCAGUAGGGAAGAUAAUGACGGUACCUACAGAAGAAGCCCCGGCUAACUUCG